rnacentral:rRNA from 1 species
GACGAACGCUGGCGGCGUGCUUAACACAUGCAAGUCGAACGGAAAGGCCCUGCUUUUGUGGGGUGCUCGAGUGGCGAACGGGUGAGUAACACGUGAGUAACCUGCCCUUGACUUUGGGAUAACUUCAGGAAACUGGGGCUAAUACCGGAUAGGAGCUCCUGCUGCAUGGUGGGGGUUGGAAAGUUUCGGCGGUUGGGGAUGGACUCGCGGCUUAUCAGCUUGUUGGUGGGGUAGUGGCUUACCAAGGCUUUGACGGGUAGCCGGCCUGAGAGGGUGACCGGCCAAAUGGGGAAGGGGAAACGGCCCAGACCCCUACGGGGGGGAGGGGGGGGGAAUUUUGCAAAAGGGGCGGAAGCCUGAUGCAGCAACGCCGGGGGGGGGAGGACGGCCUUGGGGUGGGAAACCGCUUUCGCCGGGGAAGAAGCGGGGGUGAGGGUAAUGGGGAAAGAAGCACCGGCUAACUACGU